rnacentral:misc_RNA from 1 species
UUUCCGUAGGUGAACCUGCGGAAGGAUCAUUACCUAGAGUUUGCGGGCUUUGCCUGCUAUCUCUUACCCACGUCUUUUGAGUACUUACGUUUCCUCGGUGGGUUCGCCCGCCGAUUGGACAAUUUAAACCCUUUGCAGUUGCAAUCAGCGUCUGAAAAAAAUUAAUAAUUACAACUUUCAACAACGGAUCUCUUGGUUCUGGCAUCGAUGAAGAACGCAGC